rnacentral:rRNA from 1 species
CUGAUGCAGCGACGCCGCGUGAGGGAUGGAGGCCUUCGGGUUGUGAACCUCUUUCGCCCGUGGUCAAGCCGCGACGUGGGUCGUGGUGAGGGUAGUGGGUAAAGAAGCGCCGGCUAACUACGUGCCAGCAGCCGCGGUAAUACGUAGGGCGCGAGCGUUGUCCGGAAUUAUUGGGCGUAAAGGGCUUGUAGGCGGCUGGUCGCGUCUGCCGUGAAAUCCUCUGGCUCAACUGGGGGCGUGCGGUGGGUACGGGCUGGCUUGAGUGCGGUAGGGGAGGCUGGAACUCCUGGUGUAGCGGUGGAAUGCGCAGAUAUCAGGAAGAACACCGGUGGCGAAGGCGGGUCUCUGGGCCGUUACUGACGCUGAGGAGCGAAAGCGUGGGGAGCGAACA